AGUAAAGUCGUAACAAGUUUCCGUAGGUGAACUGCGGAAGGAUCAUUAAUAAAUUUUUUUAGGUUGAAAUACGAAACCUAUAAAUAUAAUAUCCUACCUUUGUGAAUUUGUUGUUUGAAAUAAUUUUUAAAAAAUUAUUUAUAUUUUGUCUAUCCUGAGUUGUAAGAAAGUAAAUUCUUUGAAAGCUUAGGAAUAGGCUUUAUCUAUAAAUAAUGAUUUUAAAGACCUUUUUUAAAUUAAACUUUUUGUAUCAUUUGUCUAAAUUAUUUUAAUAAUUUAAAAACAACUUUGACAUGAUCUCUUGGUUUCGCAACGAUGAAGAACCAGCAAAAUGCAUAAGUAAUGUGAAUUGCAGAAUACGUGAAUCACCAAAUCUUCGAACGCAUAUUGACUUUUUAGUUUACUAAAAAGUAUGUCUGUCUGAGUAUCAGUAAAAUAUUCUCAUAAAAAUUUAUUUUUAUGGUUUUGAGUGUUUACAACGAUACAGUUGUUUCACUUUAAAUGACUUUUAAUUGCCUAUUAAUUAGUCAAUUUUUAAAAUUGCAUAAAAUUUUCCCGUAAAAAGGAAUAACCUAUCAAUUUUAAAAUUAACUGAUAUUAAAACCUUGAUAAAAGAAUUUAAUUAAAUAACUUGAUCUCAAAUCAGAUAAGAUACCCGCUGAACUUAAGCAUAUCAAUAAGCGAGGAAAAGAAACUAACAAGGAUCCCUAGUAACGGCGAGUGAACGGGAAGAGCUCAAAUUUGAAAUCUUCAAGUUGACCUUGACGAAUUGUAGUUAAAAAGUGUUUCGGUUAGAGGAGUGGUAAAAGUUCUUUGGAAUAGACAUCAUAGAGGUGAGAAUCCGUAUUUGACCAUUCUUUCUAGCUUUGUGAACACUUUCAAAGAGUCGGAUUGUUUGGAAUGCAGUCCAAAAUGGGUGGUAAAUUCAUCUAAAGCUAAUAUUGGCGAGAGACCGAUAGCGAACAAGUACCGUGAGGGAAAGAUGAAAAGAACUUUGAAAAGAGAGUUAAACAGUACGUGAAUUGUCAAAAGGAAGCGUUUGACACCAGUGUUGUUUUCCGAAAUCAAUUAAAAAUGGAUUCAUGCCAAGUUGUAUGACCUUAUCAGCUGCAUUUGGUUUGGUUCUUUUUUGAUGCACUUUUCGGUUAACAAGUCAACAUCAAUUUCCUUGCUGUAAAAGGGCAGAAGAAGGUGGCUUCAAUUUCGGUGAAGUGUUAUAGCUUUUGUCUCUGCAGUCGGGGAGAUUGAGUCUGCAGCGUAGAUCCUUCGGGGUUAAUACAUUCGUGCUAAGUUAUAGCCUUUUAUAGACAACUUGUGACUAUGAUCGGUCUUGUAAUUUACUCGCGGUGCUAUUUUACCUACGCUUAGGAUGUUGA
rnacentral:misc_RNA from 1 species